UGCCCCCUGGCCCAGUUGGUUAAGGCGCACGACUGUUACAGUGCACAUCGUGAGAUCGAGAGUUCGAGCCUCUCGGGGGCAG